GACAUUAUUGCACAGACUCAGGUUAAAGAAAAUCCACAGGGAGAAGAAUGUUUUGGCUGUGGCUAGAAAACAGCAGGGUACUGAGUCUGCACUGAAAUAUCCUUGGCCAGGUGAGACACAGCAUCUUCACGGAAGCUUGUAGCUGAUUCAUUAGCUCAGAAUGAAAGAGCUAUAAGAGGUGAAGCCAAUCAUUUGAUCGUAAAGCAUCGUCAAUGUGAAGGAAACUGCCUUUGAGCCCUCUGCCACCGCCCGUAUUGGGGGGAAUCAUGCAAACCACACCGAGCAGCUCUCAAGCCCAAGUUCAUCUGCCUUACAGUUGAGCUACACUCAUCAUGUACAUGGAGGGAAGGAGAAACACCAUUUGAUAUGUGUGUCUACAAACACUUAUCCCUGACAAGGCCGAGCAAAGUACAGAAGUAGCGUUCCACCUAACGUGCUGGGAUAUAUGAGUCUUCGAAAUGGUGAUCUCUAUCUCAAAAACCAUUUAACCGUCCUAUGAUAGUGCAGUUACUGUGGUUAUAAGGCUUUCCUUCCUAGAAUGAUAGAGCGCAGUAAAAUGUCUUAUAAAACAACACAGAAGUUAUUGCUUACCAGAUUCUGACUCUAGUAAAUUUAUCGUGCCGUAUCUUUCCACGAGUUCUUCAUUCUCUUCUCCUUUUCCAUGUGUGUAAUGAGUUCCACAAAACAGAUAGCAUUGCUUCCUUUUCAUUAAUAAGAG
ensembl:lncRNA